rnacentral:rRNA from 1 species
AGAGGCUCAAAAUAAUAGAAAUCGGCGUAAAGGGUGGUUAAGUCUAAAAACACUAAAGUUGAACAUCUUCCCAGCUGUUAUACGCACACGAAGAUACGAAACCCAYUUACGAAAGUGACUUUACAAAACUGAACCCACGAAAGCUAUGGAACAAACUGGGAUUAGAUACCCCACUAUGCAUAGCCUUAAACCAAAGUAUUUUAAUUACAUUAUACUCGCCAGGGUACUACGAGCACCAGCUUAAAACCCAAAGGACUUGGCGGUGCUUUAAACCCAUCUAGAGGAGCCUGUUCUAUAACUGAUAACCCCCGUUAAACCUCACCCUAUUUUGCUUAAUCAGUCUAUAUACCGCCGUCGUCAGCUUACCUUGUGAGAGAACAACAGUGAGCAAAACUAGUUAUAACUCAAAACGUCAGGUCGAGGUGUAGUUUAUAAUAGGGUAAGAAAUGGGCUACACUCAUUUACUAGUGAAUACGGAUGGUGUGUUGAAAUACAAACCUGAAGGAGGAUUUAGCAGUAAGAAGAAAAUAGAGUGUUCAUCUGAAAUCGGCUCUAAAGCGCGCACACACCGCCCGUCACUCUCCCUAAAACACACUUAAAACUAAUUAAAACAAAAUAUUAAACAAGGGGAGGCAAGUCGUAACAUGGUAAGCGUACCGGAAGGUGUGCUUGGAAUACCAGAGCAUGGCUGAAGUAGUCAAAGCAUCUCA